UACGUAGGGGGCUAGCGUUGUCCGGAAUCAUUGGGCGUAAAGCGCGCGUAGGCGGCCCGGUAAGUCCGCUGUAAAAGUCCAGGGCUCAACCCUGGAACGCCGGUGGAUACUGUCGGGCUAGAGUCCGGAAGAGGCGAGUGGAAUUCCUGGUGUAGCGGUGAAAUGCGCAGAUAUCAGGAGGAACACCGAUUGCGAAGGCAGCUCGCUGGGACGUAACUGACGCUGAGACGCGAAAGCGUGGGGAGCAAACAGG
rnacentral:rRNA from 1 species